rnacentral:tRNA from 1 species
ACCUGUGGCUGGCUCAGUCGGUAGAGUAUGUGACCCUCGAUCUCGGGGUCAUGAGUUCAAGCCUCAUGUUGGGCA